rnacentral:lncRNA from 1 species
UUGAAUAACACAACACAACUGGCACUUAUAAUGCUCACUAGUGUUUAUUUAUAUUUUAUAUACAAAUAUAUUUAUACAGAAUUUUUUAAUUGAGAAAACAAGGGAGAAUAUCUUGGCAAAGAUACUGAAGUGUUUUUCUUUUCUUUUCCAUCUCCAGCUUCAUUUACAGAUAAAGCCCUGAGGCAAACAAGAGUUAAGUGGCGUACAUCAAGUUACACAACUAGUAUAUCUUAUCAUGGUUGUUGCUACAAGAAAUAUUCAUUACCUCCAAGCUAUUUGGAAUGAAAUUCUUUCAAGAGGAAGAGAGACCAAAAAAGCUUGUAUGAACUGACUGAAAUGAGAAGAACCAGGAACCAAUUUAUAGAAUACUAAGAACAUUGUGAUGUAAAGAAAAAUACCUUGUUAAAGACUUAAGUACUCUAAUAAACUAAAUGACCAACUGUGAUUUCA